UACGAAGGGGGCUAGCGUUGUUCGGAUUUACUGGGCGUAAAGCGCACGUAGGCGGAUCGUUAAGUCGGGGGUGAAAUCCUGGAGCUCAACUCCAGAACUGCCUUCGAUACUGGCGAUCUUGAGUCCGGAAGAGGUGAGUGGAACUCCUAGUGUAGAGGUGGAAUUCGUAGAUAUUAGGAAGAACACCAGUGGCGAAGGCGGCUUACUGGUCCGGUACUGACGCUGAGGUGGCGAAAAGCGUGGGGAGCAACAGG
rnacentral:rRNA from 1 species